rnacentral:rRNA from 1 species
UACGAGGGGGGCGAGCGUUAAUCGGAAUUACUGGGCGUAAAGCGUGCGCAGGCGGUGAUGUAAGACAGUUGUGAAAUCCCCGGGCUCAACCUGGGAACUGCAUCUGUGACUGCAUCGCUGGAGUACGGCAGAGGGGGAUGGAAUUCCGCGUGUAGCAGUGAAAUGCGUAGAUAUGCGGAGGAACACCGAUGGCGAAGGCAAUCCCCUGGGCCUGUACUGACGCUCAUGCACGAAAGCGUGGGGAGCAAACAGG